AAUCUGCUCGGCGCGCCCGCACCCAAUCACCCGCGUCUUGCCCCACUCCCACCCCAGCCGCCAAACGAACCCUAGCUCUCUUUCUCUUUCCCCUCUAUCCCCACGAGCCGCCGCACCCCUCCCUCGAUCCCCACAAUCCUCUCCUCGCUAGCAUACGCCGGCCGGCCUCGUCUCUCCACUCACCUCCACUUAUCCUCUACCAUGUCAUCGUCGAUCCCACCGCCAGCCUUCUCCUCUGCUCGCCUCCUCAUGUCCUCUUCCAUGUCACCGUCGAUCCAGAUCGGACAUAGGUCGUCUUCGCGGUGCGGAUGGGGAUGUAGGGGAGGUGUAGGAUGCGGACGACAAGGGAAGGAGGAGGCCGGCAAGGAAGGCAAGCAACAGCGGGGAAGGAGAAGGUGAGCGGUCCUAGCAUGGGGAAGGGGCAGGGUGAGGCCUCGCGCACCUGCCGGCGGCCGGCAGGUCGACUUGUUGCGCCACCGCAUCGUCACCUCCUCUGCACCAUGAGAGGCGCAUCCUCUGCGCCAUGAGAGGCGCCACCUUUGCCUCCCCCCACUGGGCAAGUAGCUCGAGGUGAACAGGCGGUGUGGGAAGGCUUGAGGAACCAGGAGCUCAUCCCUCCUCCCAUGCUGCCUCGCGGAUCUAGAGUAUAAGGAGGCAACAUGUGCCUGUUGCAGGCGGCUCGAGCGAUGCAAGCUGGCGGCGAACUAGAAAAGAAGGCCUCCUCGGACAUUAAGAAGGUACAAUUAGGUAGUAGUGGAAGUGCUCCCUUCAAAAACAAGAACUUGGCAGAAGCUCUACAUAUGCAAAUGGAGGUUCAGACACAGCUCCAUGAACAGUUAUAGGAUUCCUACUAGAACAUGUGUCAUUCCAAAUUGUGACAAUGAUCUUUCUACUCAUGAGCAGUCCUUUUUAUACUGAAUUUUGAUGCAUAUUGUAUGUGACAAGAAGGACUCCUCGGACAUUAAGAAGGAACUUGGCAGAAGCUCUACAUAUGCAAAUGGAGGUUCAGACACAGCUCCAUGAGCAGGUCAAGAGCCAUGAAUAGGAGCAAGGCAUCACACUCCAUCUCCGAAGCAAAAACAUUUUGCUUGUAAUAAUGAACUGUAGUUUACCACAAUCUCUCAAAAACAGGCCUACCUAUUACCAGUCCGUUUCUUGCCUUUCUUUAGGAAGUAUGCUCGGUCGUAUAUAUUUACAUUCGUGUUGUUUAGUUGUGGUUUGUAUGCUUGAAAAUACGUUUUAACCGAGCUUGAAAAUUCUUAUGUGAAGUGAAAUUGUAUCUAA